rnacentral:rRNA from 1 species
UACGGAGGGGGCUAGCGUUGUUCGGAAUUACUGGGCGUAAAGCGUACGUAGGCGGCUUUGUAAGUUAGAGGUGAAAGCCCGGGGCUCAACCCCGGAAUUGCCUUUAAGACUGCAUCGCUUGAAUCAUGGAGAGGUUAGUGGAAUUCCGAGUGUAGAGGUGAAAUUCGUAGAUAUUCGGAAGAACACCAGUGGCGAAGGCGACUAACUGGACAUGUAUUGACGCUGAGGUGCGAAAGCGUGGGGAGCAAACAGG